AGAGUUUGAUCCUGGCUCAGGAUGAACGCUGGCGGCGUGCCUAACACAUGCAAGUCGAGCGAUUCACUUCGGUGAAGAGCGGCGGACGGGUGAGUAACGCGUGGGUAACCUGCCUCAUACACAUGGAUAACAUACCGAAAGGUAUGCUAAUACAAGAUGAUAUAAGAGAUUCGCAUGGAUUUCUUAUCAAAGCUCCGGCAGUAUGAGAUGGACCCGCGUCUGAUUAGCUAGUUGGUAAGGUAACGGCUUACCAAGGCGACGAUCAGUAGCCGACCUGAGAGGGUGAUCGGCCACAUUGGAACUGAGACACGGUCCAAACUCCUACGGGAGGCAGCAGUGGGGAAUAUUGCACAAUGGGCGAAAGCCUGAUGCAGCAACGCCGCGUGAGCGAUGAAGGCCUUCGGGUCAUAAAGCUCUGUCCUCAAGGAAGAUAAUGACGGUACUUGAGGAGGAAGCCCCGGCUAACUACGUGCCAGCAGCCGCGGUAAUACGUAGGGGGCUAGCGUUAUCCGGAUUUACUGGGCGUAAAGGGUGCGUAGGUGGUUUCUUAAGUCAGGAGUGAAAGGCUACGGCUCAACCGUAGUAAGCUCUUGAAACUGGGAAACUUGAGUGCAGGAGAGGAAAGUGGAAUUCCUAGUGUAGCGGUGAAAUGCGUAGAUAUUAGGAGGAACACCAGUAGCGAAGGCGGCUUUCUGGACUGUAACUGACACUGAGGCACGAAAGCGUGGGGAGCAAACAGGAUUAGAUACCCUGGUAGUCCACGCCGUAAACGAUGAGUACUAGGUGUCGGGGGUUACCCCCCUCGGUGCCGCAGCUAACGCAUUAAGUACUCCGCCUGGGGAGUACGCUCGCAAGAGUGAAACUCAAAGGAAUUGACGG
rnacentral:rRNA from 1 species